ACCUCAGAAGGAAGGGAAAUAGAAGGCUGCUCUGGGCCUCUUCAUGGACCCUUUCUGGGCCCCCUAUUUUUUUCUGCCUGAGCCAGGAAGCCCACACUCCCUUAUCUUCUGCCCCUCCCCCACAGCCAUCUGCUUAAAGGAAGUGGCUCUUUAGUUCUUCACAGGAAGCCACAGGCCUCCUCUGCUUCAGCUCCCUCCAGCUACCGCUGACCCAGGCCCUUUGCUGGCCCAGGCCCCCUUCAAGGCUGAGUCCAGAGAUGCCCUGUACCUGGCAUCAUUCUCUGCUACCCAGUCAAGGAGACUGUUCUUUUCAUUUCCUUGUGUGGACUGUUCUUUUCAUUUCCUUUCAAUCUCUGUGGCCCAGAUCUGGAAGCACAGGCUGUAGACCUGGAGGCAGAAGUCCGCUGUCUACCCGUCUGUGGAAGGCCCCAGCCGAGGCGGGACUCUGCAGAGGUCCUAUGGUCUGGUCUGGCCUUCCUUUCCCACCCAGAGGGUGUAAAGCCUCCGUAUGCCAACUGUCCACUUUAUCCCACUUUAUCUUGGAGGGAAGAAGACCUUGCCGAGGUCCCUCGAAAAGCUGCUGUCACACACUUCCCCAAGGCAAAGGUCAUUGAUGAGCGUGACAGAAAGCUCUCGACUACAAUUGGAAGGAAGGGUUUCCUGGGAGCCUCCGCCUACUCCUCCUCCUCCACUUCCUCCUCCUUCUCCCGGCU